AACGAACGCUGGCGGCAUGCCUAACACAUGCAAGUCGAACGAGACCUUCGGGUCUAGUGGCGCACGGGUGCGUAACGCGUGGGAACCUGCCCUUAGGUUCGGAAUAACUCCCCGAAAGGGGUGCUAAUACCGGAUAAUGUCUUCGGACCAAAGAUUUAUCGCCUUUGGAUGGGCCCGCGUUGUAUUAGCUUGUUGGUAGGGUAAAAGCCUACCACGGCGACGAUCCAUAGCUGGUCUGAGAGGAUGAUCAGCCACACUGGAACUGAGACACGGCCCAGAAUCCUACGGGAGGCAGGAGUGGGGGAUAUUGGACAAUGGGCGAAAGGCUGAUCCAGCAAUGCCGCGUGAGUGAUGAAAGCCUUAGGGUUGUAAAGCUCUUUUAACCGGGAUGAUAAUGACAGUACCGGGAGAAUAAGCACCGGCUAACUCCGUG
rnacentral:rRNA from 1 species